CUAGAUGCAACAAAUGCCCCCAAAGAGGCUCUGAAAAGAUCCUCCAACCUUUCACAUGGCAGAAGGGACUUCAAAUCCGUUAGCCAAAUGCGCACCCCACAACCUUCAUGGGCACAGUGUACAGGGAAACCAUCAUGUCCUCUCAUUGCUGACUCUAAUUGUUCAACCAAGCAAGACCGGCAGAACUUAUGUGCACAAGCCUCAAGCUGGUAACAGUCCUCAACUUCACA
rnacentral:misc_RNA from 1 species